rnacentral:rRNA from 1 species
GACGAACGCUGGCGGCGUGCUUAACACAUGCAAGUCGAACGGAAAGGCCCUGCUUUUGUGGGGUGCUCGAGUGGCGAACGGGUGAGUAACACGUGAGUAACCUGCCCUUGACUUUGGGAUAACUUCAGGAAACUGGGGCUAAUACCGGAUAGGAGCUCCUGCUGCAUGGUGGGGGUUGGAAAGUUUCGGCGGUUGGGGAUGGACUCGCGGCUUAUCAGCUUGUUGGUGGGGUAGUGGCUUACCAAGGCUUUGACGGGUAGCCGGCCUGGGAGGGGGACCGGCCACAUUGGGACUGAGGUACGGCCCAGACUCCUACGGGAGGCAGCAGUGGGGAAUAUGGCACAAUGGGCGGAAGCCUGAGGCAGCAACGCCGCGUGCGGGAUGACGGCCUUCGGGUUGUAAACCGCUUUCGCCUGUGACGAAGCGUGAGUGACGGUAAUGGGUAAAGAAGCACCGGCUAACUACGUG